GACGGGGCCCGCACAAGCGGUGGAGUAUGUGGUUUAAUUCGAUGCAACGCGAAGAACCUUACCUGGUCUUGACAUCCCGGAGACCCUUAGGAAACUAGGGGGUGCUUCCAUCUGGAAGAAUCUGGAGACAGGUGCUGCAUGGCUGUCGUCAGCUCGUGUCGUGAGAUGUUGGGUUAAGUCCCGCAACGAGCGCAACCCUUGCCUUUAGUUGCCAGCAGUUCGGCUGGGCACUCUAAAGGGACUGCCGGUGUUAAACCGGAGGAAGGUGGGGAUGACGUCAAGUCCUCAUGGCCCUUAUGACCAGGGCUACACACGUACUACAAUGGCCGAUACAAAGGGCAGCGACACUGCGAGGUGAAGCCAAUCCCGUAAAAUCGGUCUCAGUCCGGAUUGGAGUCUGCAACUCGACUCCAUGAAGUUGGAAUCGCUAGUAAUCGUGGAUCAGCAUGCCACGGUGAAUACGUUCCCGGGCCUU
rnacentral:rRNA from 1 species